rnacentral:tRNA from 2 species
CCGUAGCUCAGUUGGUAGAGCACCUGACUCUUAAUCAGGGUGUCCAGGGUUCGAGCCCCUGCG